rnacentral:rRNA from 1 species
UACGGGGGGGGCAAGCGUUGUUCGGAAUUACUGGGCGUAAAGGGCGCGUAGGCGGUGCUCUAAGUCGGAUGUGAAAACUCUGGGCUCAACCCAGAGCCUGCAUCCGAAACUGGAGUGCUAGAGUUCUGGAGGGGGUAGCGGAAUUCCUGGUGUAGCGGUGAAAUGCGUAGAUAUCAGGAGGAACACCGGUUGCGAAGGCGGAUCUCUGGGACAUUACUGACGCUGAGGAGCGAAAGCGUGGGGAGCGAACAGG